UGGGGAAUUUUGCACAAUGGGGGAAACCCUGAUGCAGCGACGCCGCGUGAUUUAGAAGGCCUUCGGGUUGUAAAAAUCUUUUUUACGGGAUGAAAAUGACAGUACCGUAAGAAUAAGGUCCGGCUAAAUACGUGCCAGCAGCCGCGGUAAUACGUAUGGACCGAGCGUUGACCGGAAUCAUUGGGCGUAAAGGGUACGUAGGCGGCCUAGUAAGUUAGAAGUGAAAUAAUAUAGCUCAACUAUAUAAAGCUUUUAAAACUGCUAGGCUUGAGAGAUGGAAGGGAAAGUGGAAUUCCUAGUGUAGCGGUGAAAUGCGCAGAUAUUAGGAAGAAUACCGGUGGCGAAGGCGACUUUCUGGUCAUCAUCUGACGCUGAGGUACGAAAGCGUGGGUAGCAAACAGG
rnacentral:rRNA from 1 species